rnacentral:lncRNA from 1 species
GCGUUCUUAAGGCUGCAGAGCCCUGGGUCCCCCACCCGGCCCCGGUUCACUUUGAGCGGUCCCAAGGCCUGAGGGCCUACUGUCCAGUCCCCGGGUUAUCGUCCUGAGCAAAGACAGACCCCGAGCCCUGCGGUCUUGGGGCUCAAACAGUCCCUGGAUGGCCAAACAAGCGAAUAUUCGCCAUGGCAGUGGGUGCUGGAAGGGUGGCUCACGGAGCUGACGCCCUCUGCAGAGAACCGUGGUCUAGUCCUGCGGUCACGAGGCCUAUCUGGGACAGUGGUGUUUGAGCUGAGACUUUAACGAAUAGAGACAGGCACUGUGCUAAGCAGUUUUCCUGGAAGUGUCUACCUCAUUUCGUUCGCUGAAUAGCUCUAAGAGUGUGAACAACCCCAGAAGGAAAAAGAGUGCUGUUGUUAAAGGUAUCUGGCAUCGUGGACCCAACCAUCACCAGGAGUUUCUCACUUCAUCUCUGCUUUAUUGUAGUAUAAUUUGCAUACAAUAAUGGCACACAUUUAAUGUGCACAGUGUGAUAAAUUUUGACAUAUGUAUACAUCCAUGAAGCCGGCACCACAAUCAAGAUAAUGAACAUCUCGCUUACCGCAGAAGUUUCCUGUGCCCUCUCACUCCUCCGUAUUCCUCC